rnacentral:lncRNA from 1 species
AUCAGUAAGCAAAUUUCCCAAAAUACAGCAAAAUAAGCUUGAGUCCGCAAUCCAUAACCUGCUUAUUGAUUUCCUGAGAAUAGAAGUCGUUUGAAAAGCGUCAACAUAAAAUAUGUUGGUGAGUUCGUAAGCAUUUGCGUAUAAAAACUUUGAUGAUAGUUUAGAAAUCCAGAAAAUCCAAUAUUUUCUUAUCAAAUGGUUGUAAUUCUUGUUUCAAAUCGAGUAUAGCUGCAUGUGUGUCUUAAUUCAUCGUUUUCAAAAUCGUUCGAGUCAUUUCCCCAAAAAAUCCUAUAUUUUAUGAUGUAUAAAAUAGUAGUUUUGGUAAAAACCUAACACUUCUGUGGAAAAGUCUCAUUGGGGUAGUAAAAAAUAGUUGAUUUUCAACCGAAGAUGAAAUCUGUAUAAAUAUGUUUCUGAUAUAUUCUAGUAAGUCGUUAUAACGAUACUAAUAUGAUGGAGUGCCUGUUAUGACGUUCUUAAAGUGUCAGUUUUGUUCAAGACAUUUGUCACCCUAGACUGGCUGGUCUAGCUGUAGCGAACAACGAAGAUGCGAGGUGUCAACCCCGUAUAGAUCUAUACACAAAUUCUCGCUCUCCCUCCAGGAGAUUCUCUUUAUAACUCUUAUAGGACUUAGGGUGUACAAUAUUGUAUUAAUAUAUGUACUGUGAAGAUUUUAUAUGACUAGAAUACUAACUGAUCUUUGAGCAAUUCGUGAAAUUAAUUAUUUACUAAAUAAAUAAUAAUAAUAAUAGUUGUUGUUGUAACCAGAUAUUUCGUUACGUUUGUUUGUUUAUUGAAAUCAAUCCGCUUUGAAAUAUUUAUCCAAAAUGACCCAAAUUUUAUCAAAGCCGGAAAACAGCCCCUUUUUCUUUAUAACAGACUAUGUGUGAUUCAAAUUAUCGGAAAAAGCCUAGUUGUGAGUUACAUAUGUAUCUUUGCACUACAAGAAAACAGCCCUUUAAUGACGCGCAAACAGUGACACUCGCUGAUAGACGACGCGCAUUUGUAAGUGCCCUAAAAGAUAAUGUCAAUUUUGCAAAAUUUGAAGGAUAGAGGGCACGCAUUUGUGCGCGCCCUAAAAUUAGUGUCAGAAAAGAAAAAAAAGAAAUGCGGAGGGCGCCUUUCAUAAAAUGUGCGUCAUGUAAAUGUGUCGCUUUAUAAUUUUAAGUGAAAUACGCGUUUUAGGCGGGAAAUGAAAUCGACGAAAAUUAUCCCCGCCUAUUGAAUCCCAAAAAUUAAUCCCCCCGCCUCUUCUACUUAGCAAGAAAAAGCCCUAGGUCCCUCAUCUUCAUCUUCAGUAUCAUCAAUCUCUACUCGAUCUCCUUCAAUUAGGUGUGCGACUCCUCCAUCGCACUGAUGACUACGAAUGUGACUCUUCCACCACACCUGUGAUUGCGUCCCGUCUCACCUCCCUGGCUGCUACCUUAAUAGGUUUAUCUACUCAAUUAGAUUUUUCUUUUCAGUUAGAAAUCGAUUUCGUCCCUUCCCCGGCUCUUCAUCUCUUCACUAAAAUCGUUGUUCAUCUAUCCACUAAAAUCUUCAAGGUUUCUUUAAUUUCACUCCAAGGGUUAUUUGAUAGCUCUUGUAUGGUUUAUUCCCUAUACUGAAUCGAGAGUCAAGGUUGUUGGUAUGAAUUCUCAAUUCCCCUUCAAUCCUUCAUCACACAUUUAACCCUAGAUCUUCGGAUUCUAUAAAUAUUAGGGUUCAAUUGAUCGAGAAGCGUCAUUUAACUCUUCAUUUUUCCUGAUUUUGGGUUGAUUUACGUUUGGAAUUUUGUUAAUUUUGGAAUUAGGUGCAACUUUCCUAUUGCCGAGACUUCUGCGUCCCUCCCUUCAGCGUCGUCGCCACCCUCAAAUUUGCACCACCUCCGACGUCGGCUUCCCCUCUACCUCCGAUAACUUCUCCAUUCAUGCUUCCGCGUCCUCCAGCUUCUGCAGGUAAGGUUUCCAUUUCCUUUUCAUCUGAAAAUCGCGUUCUAGAUGCGUAAAUGUAGUUCUUCUAGAACUGUUUGAGGCUGAAAUCGAGUUCCAGAUGUGUAUAUUUAGUUUUUUAUGUCUUUUCUUUUUCCUCUGAAAAUCGAGUCCCUGGUCUAUGGUAAUUCAUUGGUCUAAGUAAAAUAUUUCUUUAAGUUUGACUAAAUAACAUUCAAAAUCCAUAUCAGAUCACAAAGUUAUUUAUUCCAUUCAUCAUGCUUUUGUUUAUUUUCUUUGAAGUCAAGAUUCAAGAUCUGGGGGUUAUCAACCAUCAGUGUUAGCUCUAGCUACAAUGCUUCAUAUCAUAGAUAAAGUUGACUCUUUAAACUAUGUGUGACUAUUCGGAUUAGCUUCUUGAUGUACUCAAAACCACCGGUUAUUAGGAAAGUUAGAAACAAGGCUUUCUUUAAGGGCAAAAAGGGAAUUUGUGAUGUUGUGUUUGAUCACGUAAGGAUGUAGUAGCUUUUAAUUAGAUUAGUAGUAGGUGUAGUAAAUAUAAAAUUGAGUGAAAUGCUUGGUUAAUUAGCUCUUCUGUGUAGAGCUCUAACUCCUUUGUACGUAGUUUUGUGCCCAGCCAACUUCUGUGAGGAGCUUCAAUGCUGUAAAGAUUACUGAAUUCCUCAUUUGGUUGUAAUGGAUUCUGCGCAUCUAGUUUGGGUUUUUAAUUUUUAUUUAAUCGAUCCUUGAUUUUAGUCUAAACCAUGUUUGAGUUUUGUUACCUAAGAUUUGGUAGAUCUCAGUAUCAAUUCUGAUGAUCGAGAAAUUGAUUAAUCUUUGUUUUUGUUGCAGGUGCAACUUGGUACAGAUUCCUUCACUUUCGAUCAUGUCUAUGGAAGCUCUGGUUCCCCAUCAUCCUCCAUGUUUGAAGAUUGUGUUUCUCCUCUUGUUGAGGGUCUACAAAAGCAAGGCAGACAAUGUCACCUGGUCAUCUGGGUUCAACCUCAAAUGCAAGUCAAGGUCAAGGUCAAGGUCAAGGUCAGCAAUUCCCCAUUCAUGGGAGGGAGAACAUGAACCAGUUGCCACCUAGGCAACCCACCAAUAAUGGUAUUGGUAGUGGAGUGUCUUCUAUGCCUCCCCCACAGUCACCUGCUAACAUGAGCCUGGGUCCAGAUCAUCUGUUGCAGUUACAGCAUGCUAGGCAGCAGAUGAAUAGGUCUUCUCCACAGCCUCCUGCAGCUUCAGCUAAUGGUGUUGGAUUGGAAAACCCUUUAACAUCUCAGAAACAACAAACACCACAAGGCCAACCACACCCAGGCUUUACAAAGCAGCAACUACAUGUUCUCAAAGCCCAGAUUCUGGCUUUCAGGCGUAUAAAGGUUUGCAGAACUUGUUUUUUUUUUGAAAUAUAUUUUUCAUUUAUCAUCUCAGGGGUUAUUUCUUUCCGACUUAAUGAGCUUAAUGGGCUAAGCACGUAAUAUGGACAACUAUUUAUAUCACUGUUGUUUUUUGACUUAAUUCGGACAGAAUAGCUUACUGGUUUAAGCAAAAAACUUGGCUUAAUGUAUUUGGACACUACUUGUUUACCUAUUUACCCCCCCCCCUUUUUUUUUCCCUCCAGACAACUCUUCUCAUGUUCUCCCUUCAUGAUGACCUAACAAGGUUUUACAUUAGUUUUGAUCUGAAAAAGCUUUGCUUAAUGGUUUUUUGAAUUUGAAUUUUCAGACCAUUUUCAUUUACGUAUUCGAACAUUUCAAACACUUACAAGCUAUUGCCCCACCUCCCCUUGAAGUACAGUUGCAACAGGUGGCUUCCCCUGCUGUAGUAGCUAACCAUGAUAGAGCUUCAGUUAGAAGCCCUGUGGAGUCCAAUAACAAGGAUCUUCAAGCUGUGACUAUGUCUGCUGGAAUGAACACCUUGAAAAGAGAAGCGUAUGAGGAUAAAGCAACAGCUAAUGCACAAGCCACACCUAUAAUAAAGGAAACUCCAUCGGCUCCUCCCCCUGCAAAAGAAGAACAGAGAAUUACUGCAUUUCCUCCUAACGAUAACAAAAACUAAAAUCAAGUAAAAAUGUUUGCUAAAAUGCUUGUAAUUUUAUAAUAUAUUUGGCUUAUAUAGGGAUGCCAUGGGAUACAAAAGGGGACAUUUUGUUUUAAUUGCAAAAAUAAUCAUUUCUGCACUAGGCUACUUGAUGCUGGGAACUUUUAUUUAUGUGCUUAUCGUUGAUGGAUCUACAUUCAAUGCCAAUGUAUUAUCAAGGUACCAUUUAAAAUUUCCCUUUUAUUUAAUUUAUGUAAAAAAGUGUAAUAGUAAAUGCUCAUACAUAGUUGUAAAUGCUCACAGGUGCAUGAUAGCAACAACAACCGAUUUCUAUUUUUGUAUUGUCAUUGUAGCAGUAAGUCUUUGUUUAUUAUAUACUUUCCAACUAUAGUGAAAAGGAGAUUUUUCGACUUUUGUUAUAACAAUAAUGUUUGAUUGCUUCUUUUGAUCAGGUGUGGAUUGCAUAUAAGGAAUCAAGGUGGAUAAGUGCUUUCUUUUGGAUACUUUCACUUCNUGCCAUGGUGUAUAGCAUUUAUAUUAUUAUCAUUUCAAGGUAAUUAAUUAAAAUAUUUGUUCGUUCUUAUGACGAAUGAGGAGUCAGUGGCAGAUGGGUUUAUAUUAUAUAAUCAAAACACUAUAAUUAUAAAUAUUUAUUUUUUUUACUAUAAAUAAAUUAUUUGAGUUUAAAUGGCAUGAAUGAUUUCAGGUAAAUGGGGAUGGUAAUUCUGAAAAUGGCUCCCAUAUAUGUGAACAAUAUCCAUUUUCAGUAAAUGAGAAGGUUGUUAUUUUUAUUUAUUUCACUUUUGUUUUCUAUGUGAAGAUAUACUGACAAAAAAUACAUUACAUGACAUGAUAUGUUGGUUGAGUAGCUUUACGUGUUCUAAUGGGUGGUGUUAGAUGGAAUUGUGAUGAUAUACUCUCUAGUUUAUAUGAUCAAAGAUUGUCAUUGUGAAUAUCAUUGUUGAUAGCUUUACAGAUAAUAUUUACCAUUUGUAUGCGGGUAUUCUUGUCAUUGUGUUUGUCAUUGUUGAUAUUAGGUAAUUCAUAUUGUAGUGUAUUUAUUCCAAAUCCCAAAUUCUUUGGAUGGAGAAAAGGGUAAUUUCGUCUUUUACAACUAACAUUCCAAGUUUGAUUCUUCUAAUAAUUGUAUUAACAUAUUAAUUUUUUGACUUUUAUUUGAUCAGGUCACAAGAAUUAUCGGAGCAGGGGUUCAAUAUUAGUCUUACAGAAGUAUGAAAGGCAAGAUUCAACUCUACUUGGUUGGAAUUUGAUGUUUAUCAUCUUUGUGUAUAUCUUUUUAGUUUGUAUAGCAUUACAUUGCAUAAGGUGUCCCUUAAUAACAAUUUAGUAUUAUGUUAUAUAGUUAGGGAAAACCUUUUAAUAACAAUGUACAAUUAGAUCCCCUUAAUAUAAAUGUAUUACAAUUUUUUGACAUGAUGUUUUUGGUAUAUAUUUGUUUACAUAUGGAACGAUUAUUUGUAUGACAUUAAAUUUAUGCAAUGGAUUCUAUUUUUGUAUAUGAUAUUUUAUUAUCUAUUAUCUAUUAUUAAACAUUAAAUACAAAUUUAAUUUGAAAAUAAGCAAAUCUAUAAAUAAUAUUUUUUUAAACAUUUAAAAUUAUGAUACGCAAAAAUGUGUGUCAUCUUCAUUUAUGACAUGGCCUUUCUUGACAGGGGCUUCCUUGAUACGCAUUGCGUGUCAUAAACACGCGCGUCGUAAGGUUACGACACGCAAAUGCGUGUCGUCUUCCUUUAUGACAGGGCCUUCCUUGAUACGCAUUGCGUGUCAUAACCGCGCGUCGUAAAUGCGCGUCAUAAAUGCGCGUCGUAAAUGCGCGUCGUCUCUCUUUAUGACAGGGCCUUCCUUGACACGCAUUUGCGCGUCGUCUGAGCGUUUUACGACGCGCAAUGAGCGUCGUAAAAGGCCUUUUUUCUAGUAGUGUUGGCUUGUGUAAGUUUAUGACAGCAGCUUUAUGACAUGCAAUUUUUUCUGUCAUAAAGGCUUCAUUUGUGUAUUUUCUUGCCGCAAAUAUUUAUAUCAAAUAUUUAUGAAAUAUCCCCUAAUAUUUUGCAAAAACAAUCAUUUAUGGGCAUAAAGUCCAAAACUUUGUAGAUCCUAGCAAUUGUGUCAACUUAUAAGUCUAUUUCAACAACUUUUUAUCUUUGGAUAUAGAGAUAAGAGGGGUAUGAAUGGACACAUUCAAAACAUAAGGAGGCCCUUCUUGUACAUAAAGUAUUCUCUAUAUGGUGGUUUUGUAAACAUUUUUAAUAUUUUCAUAUAAUCUGUGAACUCACGUUCAUGAAAAAUUUGCUAUAAUAUAAUAACAUCUCAAUAUACAUACUAAACAUAUGAAUACAUGCAAUUAUCCAAGGAUUUAGACAAGAUUUGAGUUGUAUUCUCCCCUAAAAACAAUAAAAACUUAGAAAAAGGUGGGGUAUGAAGCUCACCUUGGUUAUCUUUGUUGGGUGAUUUUGAUGAGUGAUGAGGAAGUUUCCAAGCUCCAAAACUUGGAAGAUUCUUAAAUCUUUAGGGGAUUCUAAGAAUAAUUUUUGUGUGUAAAUAUAAUGAAAUAUUAGAGUAAUGGAAAGAGUAGUUGUUUAAAGAGGAUAAAAUACUCACCAAAGAAAUCUGGGAAUUUCCCUUGAAUGGAUGAACUUGAAGCUUGAAGGUGUUGAGAGUGUUCUUGGGAGUUUACUGAAGGUGAAUGAGAGAAAUGGGACUUAGAGAGGAAAUGUGUUCACGUAUCUAAAGGGGAGGAUAAGGGUGACUUGACAUUUGCAUGGAAAGCUGGUGAGUAAAGCUUAUUUUCUUAUGGAUAAUGUGUGUUUAUUUGGGAUUUGCAUGAGAAAUGAAGAAUUAGCAUCACAUCAUAAAGUCAAACCCCUUUAUUUGCCUUAGAAUCUCCUUAAAAUCCUGAGUUCUAUUUUAUAUAAAUAUAUUAAAAUAAUUGAUUUUGGCAUAAAAUAGUGGUUUAAGGGGUCUAAGAUAGGAAAAAUAUGAGUUUGGUAUGAUUUUCGGCGUCAAAAUGUCUUAAAAUGAGAAAAAGGUCCGAAAAUGGCAAAAAUCCGGAGUGGGGGCUGGUUUCUGCGAGGGUCCGAAGGCUUAGGGAGGAUUCCAGAGUCAUCUACCCAUUUUUGGAGUCAUCAGAUGAAGUUCCAAAGCAAACAGAGGAGUUCCGGAGCUUAUUCUCAGAUCCGAAGUGCGUGCGAGGUCAGCAGUCCGAACCGAGGUGCGAAGCGGCUCAAAAUUCUGAAGCGGGUCCAGAUGUUUCCAAAGCAGUCCUAAGCGAGGUCUUUCGGAGUCAUGCGAGAAGGUCCGGACAAGGGGGGGAUUCCAAAGAUGCACUCCUUUUGAUUCCUUAGAAGGUAUUCCGGACCAAGAGGGUUCCAGAUCAGAAGGGUUCCGGACUAAGAGGUUCAGGACCAAGAGGGUUCCGGACCAAGAGGGUCCUUUUGGGUUUUCUCCUCCGGUUUUGGGUUGUUUUCGACUAAGUAAGGUACGUAGGGAGAUUUGGGAGAGAUUCCACAUACUUGGAGAGAUCUGGGAGAGAAUUCACAUACUUGGAGAGAUUUGGGAGAGAUUUCACAUACUUGGAGAGAUUUCACAUACUUAGAGAGAUGUGAGAGAGAUUUCACAUACUUGGAGAGAUUUGGGAGAGAUUUCACAUACUCAGAGAGAUUUCACAUACUUAGAGAGAUUUGGGAGAGAUUUUACAUACUUUGAGAGAUUUGAGAGAGAUUUCACAUACUUGGAGAGAUUUGGGAGAGAUUUCACAUACUUGGAGAGAUUUGGGAGAGGUUUCACAUACUUGGAGAGAUUUGGGAGAGAGUGAGGUAUAGUGGGAGAGUUUGAAAGAGACUUUGUCGGGAGUCCUUAUUAAUGUUUUUCUUCGUAGAGUAAGGACUUUAGACUUAGUUACAUCCCAUUUUGAGUGCUAUACACCCCUGAAGGGUACUUAGUAGUACUUUAUAGGGUUAUUACUUCCCUAAGUUGAAUUAGGGUGUUAAAUUUUUAACAUUUGGGACUUUCAAGUGUUACUUUGCAUUAAGAUUUGUAGUUGUACAUUAGUAAACAUAAAGAAUUCCCUAACAUUUAACACUAGUUGAGCUGACCAGAUUGACUAGUUGACCUUGACUAGACCAGAAGCUUGCCGGUUGUCACAAAAACCCCGAAAUUAGGGUUUCAUCUUGGCAGCCCUACUCGUCGAGUCGAGGCUCUCAACUCGUCGAGUAGGUGACUUAUAAUCCCGCGUCCAUUUUGGUUUCUACUCGACAAGUUUGGGGUUCCCAAAUCGUUGAGUGGCUCUACAAAAGUGAAUAGAUUAUAAUUAAAAGCAUACCGGGAACCAUGCAUUAUAAUUCUCCCCCACUUGUCUUAGACUUCGUGCUCGAAGUCUGCUGCAUCAGGAAACAACUCCGGGUAGUGCUCCCUUAACUCCUUCUCGGGCUCCCAAGUUUACUUGGAACCCUUGUGGUGCUGGCACUACACCUUCACCAGCUCAACCCUCUUGUUCCUCAGCUCCUUCGUCUUCUUGUCGAGAAUAGCUACUGGUCUCUUGAUGUAGUUCAGGUUGUCAUCAACCUGUAUAUCCUCUAGAGGCCCAACCGCUGAGCCAUCCAUUAAGCACUUCCGCGAUUGAGAAACAUGGAAAGUGUUGUGGAUCUGGCUGAGCUCUGUUGGAAGAUCCAAACGGUAAGCAACCUGGCCUACCCGAGCCAACACCUUAAACGGACCGAUGUAUCUGGGGCCCAGAUUUCCCCGCUUCCUGAACUGGAUAACACCUUUCUAAGGUUACACCUUUAGGAGAACCAUGUCGCCCACCUGAAACUCCAAGUAUGAAUGAUGCUUGUUGGCACAACUUUUCUGCCGACUAUGAGCAGUCUGGAGCCUACUUCGAACCUGCCAGAUCCUCUCAGUGGUCUUGAGUACUACCAUAGUACUCCCCAUGACUCUCUGACCGACCUCACCCCAACAGAUUGGGUCCUACACUUCAUCCUGUAGAGCAUCUUGAAGGGAGGUCAGUCUAUGUUGGCGUGGUAGCUGUUGUUAUACGAAUAUUCUGCUAACAGAAGAUAUGUAUCCCAACCGCCACCGAAAUCCAAGACAUAUGCACGUAGCAUGUCCUCGAGAGUUUGUAUCGUCCUCUCGCUCGAUCCAUCCGUCUGAGGGUGCAAAGCGGUGCUAAAGUGGAGAUGAGUACCCAUCUCGUCGUGAAACCACUUCCAAAAUCGCAAAGUGAAAUGAACAUCUCGGUCUGACACCAUUGAGAUAGUUACUCCAUGUCGUGUCACUAGCUUACGCAUAUAAAUCUCGGCCAACUUCUCAGCCGAUAUACUCUCCUAGAUUGGGAUGAAAUUAGCACUCUUGGUCAACUAAUCCAUGAUGACCCAUAUCGAAUCUACUCCACGUGUGUUCCUGGGAAGCUUGGUGAUGAAAUCCAUAGUGAUAUCUUCCCAUUUCCACACAGGAAUGUCUAAACGGCUGCAUACUGGUGCUCGGCCUUGACCUUCCUGCAGGUCAAGCACCGCUCCACAUACCAUGCUACGUCCCGCUUCAUGCAGGGCCACCAGUAAUCAGGGUGAAGAUCCCGAUACAUCUUCGUCGCCCCAGGAUGGACUGAGAACCUCAACUUGUGAGCCUCAUCCAUCAGAACCCGUCAUACUCUGCCCCAGUAUGGAACCCAGACUCUCCCAUGCAAGGUCAACAACCCACGACUGUCAUAAUCAAAUGAGGCCACCUGACGUAUAAUCCGCUCACACUUUCGACGCUCCUCCUUCAGGCCCUCCACAUGAGCCUCCUAUAUCUGCUCUAGCAACAAAGUAAUCACUGUCAUCCUCAGACAUAUGUCUUCAAUCGGGGCCGCCAAUGCCUUGCGGCUCAGGGCAUCGGCCACCACGUUGGCCUUGCACGGGUGGUAAAGGAUCUCUUAGUCGUAAUACCACAUCUAACCACCGUCGUUGCCUCAUGUUCAGAUUCGGUUGAUCCAUGAGGUACUUUAAACUCUUGUAGUCCGUGUAAAUGGUACAACGAACCCCAUAGAGGUAAUGCUGCAAAAUCUUGAGGGCGAAAACCACAUCCCCCAGCUCUAAAUCAUGCGUCAGAUAGUUUGCCUCGUGAGGCUUCAACUGCCUCGAAGUGUAAGCUAUCACGUGACACUGCUGCAUCAAUACCGCACCCAUGCCCGUGAUCGAAGCGUCAUAGUAAACUACGAAGUCAUCGACGCCCUCUGGGAAAGUCAAAAUCGGUUCCUCACAUAACCGCUGUCUAAGAGUCUCGAAGGCUGCUUGUUGCUCAGGCCCCAAGCGAAAUGUCACCGAAUUCUUGGUCAUUCGGGUCAAAGGAAUAGCGAUCUUGGAGAAAUCACAAAUGAAUCUCCGAUAAUAACCCGCCAGACCAAGAAAACUCUGAAUCUAUGUUGGAGACCUCGGAACCUCCCACUGCAUCACGACCUCUAUCUUGGCCGGAUCGACCAGAAUACCCUUCUGUUUGACAAGGUGCCCCAGAAACUGCACCUCACACAACCAGAACUCACACUCGGAGAACUUUGCGAAAAGUCUCUCCCUCCUCAGUGUCUCCAGCACCUCCUUCAGGUGCUCAUCACGUUGCUCCUGAGUCUUGGAAUAAACUAAGAUGUCAUCAAUGAAAGCUAUCAUAGGCUGAUCCAGCAUCGUUAUGCACAUGCGGUUCAUGAGAUCCAUGAAUGCGGAUGGAGGAUUGGUAAGCCCAAACGACAUCACCAUGAACUCAUAGUGACCAUAGCAGGUCCUAAAAGUUGUCUUCUGCACAUCCUCGUCUCUGAAUCGCAUCUGGUGAUAACCGAUCGCAGAUCAAUCUUGGAGAACCAAGAUGCACCCUGUAGCUAGUAAAAAAAUCAUCAAUCCUCGAGAGGGGAUAAUGGUUCUUCCCCGUUACCUUACUCAGCUCCCGGUAGUCUAUGCACAUCCGAUGUGACCCGUCCUUCUUCUUUACAAACAGGAUCGGGGCUCCCCAUGAAGAACUACUCAGCCUGAUAAAUCCCUUGUUUAGCAGCUCUUGUAGUUGUGUAGACAACUCCUACAUCUCGGGAGGAGCAAACUGAUAUGGUGCCUUGGCUAUCUGAGCCACACCAUAGACUAAGUCAAUCCUAAACUCAAUCUGUCUCUCCGGAGGUAUCCCAGGAAAAUCCUCAGGGAAUAUAUUUGGGUACUCUCGUACGAUCGGUACAUCAUCCACUGUCGCCUUACCCUUAUCCCAGAUAUCCAUAACAUAGGCGACAUGCGCAACCUUGAUGGAGGUAGCGCCUCGUCCUCGUUGCUGAACAUAAGGUCGGUCCACACUGCGGCCUCUCGCCUUAAAUCACUAACCCUCCCCCACUUGGAGUACGAACUCAUGCUAGCUGAUGUUCGCAGUCGAUCACAGCCCCACUGGGGCUCACCCAGUCCAUACCUACUAUAACCUUAGUCCCUCGCAGGGGAAUAGGGAUCAAAUCCUAGGAAAACUGCUCAUCGAAUAACAUUAGGGUACAUCCUCGAUGCACCCUCUCAACCCAAACAGUCCUAUCAUCCGCUAUCUCUACAUCCAGUGGACAGUCUAGCUCCCCCGGAGCUCCAACAAAUCACUUGCUAAGUGCGAGCGACACAAAAUAUCGGGUAGUCCCUGAAUCGAAUAAUAGCAGAGCUGAUAUACCGUUCACUAAGAACGAUCCUAUAACAAAACAAGUAAACAUAAGUGAUAAUCAAUACAAAUAAAGAGAUACGGAGAGAAUACAUACCCGUCACAACAUCAGGAGUUGCACGUGCCUACUUUACAGUAAGCUGAAAAGCCCUGCUCCUAGCCAUAGGCGCCUUUGCCCGACCCUGAAGGCCAUCUGUAAUCCUCAACGUAGUAGGAGCGUGCGCCGCCACCUAUCGUGCCGCUGCUAAACCCGGACACUAGGCCCUUUUGUGGCCCCUCUGAUUGCACUGAAAGCAAAUCAGAUCUAAAACUGUUGUGGUGGUGGUGGUAGUAGUACAAUCAUUGCUCAUAUGACCAGUUCGGCUGCACUUGAAUCAGCCCAAACUCCCCGUCCUACACGCCCCCUUGUGCAACUUGACGCACUUGCCACACCGACUGCUGCCCUGCUGGCUCCUCGAUCUGUGAUCUGAUACCUUGGGCUUCUUGCCCGAAACACCUAUCUGAACCCCAUCAGGUUUCCUCUUCCUCUCCAUCUCCAAAUCCAGCUCCCUCUCCCCAUCCCUAGCAAUCAUAUCCUCCAACGUCUUGCAGCUAGAUCGGCUCACAAAUUGGCUGAUAUCACUACGCAACAUCUCAUGAUAUCGGGCCAUUUUCAUCUCCUCGUCCGCCACAUACUGCGGAACGAGAAGAUCCCUCUCCAUGAACAUAGCGGUGAUCUCGGCCACCGUCUCUGUAGUCUGCUGGAGGUCCUGGAACUCCCUCGCCAGCUAUUCCACCUCAAUUCAGGUGCAAACUCGGCCCUGAACCUAGCCUAGAAAUCACUCCAAGUCAUCGCAUCAAUAGCGGCAUCAUCACCAGUAGCUCUCCCAACCUCCUCCCACCAAUCUCAUGCCUUGUCCUUCAGGAGACAGGAAGCAAGUCGAACCUUGUCCCCCUCGGGACAUCUGCUGGUGUGAAAGGCGUUGGCGAUAUCUGCCAACAAUCUACCGAUAGCAAUGAGGUCCCGAGCCCCAUGAUAUUCAGGAGCUCCACAUGCUAUGAACUCCGUGACUGUCAGCGUGCACGACCCCAUCAUGGCCGCCACCUCAGUGCGGAAUGCACUCAGCCUCUCAUCCAAAAGCUCCAAGAUAGCCUCCUUAAUCGUACCGAAGAUCACAUGAGUCUGGUCUAAAAUGUUGCGCAUGACCUCAGAUGAGAUGAGCUCUCUCGUCUGCUCGUCUAACUGCCCGGAUCCAGAUCCCGAGCUGGAUCCCUCAUCAGCGCCUGAAGUGCCAACUGGUCUAGUAUGUAGUGUCACCAUACUGAAAAUACACCAUAACAACAUUAGUACAUAUCAUCACUCGAGGGAUCUCACACACUACAAGUUUUCUGGGUUCAUCUCAGCCUUCCUUGAUUCGAGUAUGGAUCCUCUACUUUUAGUAGUACGGGCCCAUACUACCUUCCACAUCUAUCCGCACUUUUCUCAAGAACUGCUUUGACUUCACCAAUUCCCUUAUACUACUACUGCUUCACACACUAAUCUCAUCCUAGGCUUGCCCUAGGGUAAUCACCAACCCACUCUCCGCCAUCAGCUGCAUAAGAAGUCCUCGCUAUCUCCCCUAACUAGCUCACGAAUACUAUUACAUAUCACUAAGACUAUAUAAUUCUUCGAAUGAGAGGUCCUACCCUACAACGGUUGGACUUAGACAAGUCCCUGCUAUCUCUCCUAACUAGCUCACGAAUACUAUUACAUAUCACUAAGACUAGAUAAAAAUCCUAAAAGCACAAAGCAAGCAUCAUUCGAGCAUUGAGUACACAUAAUCAAACAUGUCCUAAUCAGGUCAUCAUAUCACUGACUAAUUUGUACUAGCAUGCAGUUCAUAAGGCUGAUACACAUGUAACAGGAACAUAAGGCAUCCUUCCUAGAUCCUUAGCCCUAAUCUAGCAUGCAGUUCUCAGUAGCAUAUCAUAACAUAACUUGUAUGGGUAAUUUGGGAGUACUUAUUUGAGCCCGGCUGAUUGCAUGCACCAUACCCCUUUUCUCUUUUCCAAAUCCUUUUCUAUUUUCAAAAUUCUUUUCAUAAAAAUACCUUUUUUGAAAAUUUUCAUACCAAGUCCUUAGUUUGAGUUCAAAAACACCCGAGAGUGUGCCCGAAUCCCUCAAACCAAGGCUCUGAUACCAACUUGAAACAUCCCAAAAAUACGGUCCAAAAAUUUCAUUUUAAAUCAUUAAUAAAAAUCAUAAGUAUCAUUCAUCAUAUAAAAGUCAUAAAUCGUGUAUCUCAAAAAUAUUAUAACAUCUGUCAAUAUAUCAAAAUCAUAUGUCAAAACAGCAGAGUGAAUCCUCCCAGGCUAAAAGCCGUGGUGUGUGCAAUGCAGUCAUCCCGAGCUCUUCCCUUUACUAGCAGAAGUACCUAAAACCAAAACUGAAAACUAUAAGCACGAAGCUUAUUGAAUCUCCCCAAACUACCAUAUACCAUACACAUAAACACAUAUAACAUACAUUGAGGCCCGCCCUGCUACAUCAGGCUCUGGCUGGCAUCAGGCCCUGUCCGACAUCUAACUGCAUCCGGCAUUGGGUCCCCGCCCGACAUCAAGCAAAGCUCGACAUACAUAUGAGCAUAACUACUAAUACACAUAACAUGAGCAUAAUCGCCUAAUCAUAAACAUAUAAACGUUCAUUGGGCCUCGCCCGACAUCGGACCGAAAUCCGGAAAGCAUACAAACAUUACUCGGGAACUGCCCCGGCAUCGGACCAUAGUCUGGAAACAUACAGAUACAAACACAUGAAAGAAUCACAAAGACAACAUGCAUACUAACAUUCUUCGGGUACCACCCUGGGAUCGGGUUGAAACCUGAAAAACAUAUAAACCUACAUCGGUCCCCGCCCGACGUUAGACCAUAGUUCGGAACAUACUAACAUACAUAAAUGGGCAGACCUUGGUGCCUUUGACCCGUUCCUACUAAAGGAAAACUCACCUCGUAAGCUAACUACGAAAUCUCGUGUGAGGAAUCUCUGAUGGCUGCUCCAACGACUCCUCGUCUAUCAUUAUUACAAUAACACUUAGUCAAAAUCUGAUAAUACUUCUUAGGUUAAAAUGACCAUUUUACCUCUGGUCAAAGUCAACAUUCUGGUUAAAGUCAAUGUUCUGAGUUGAAUCAACUCGCCGGGUUCUAUAAAUCAAAACCCUAAAAUCGCAAUCCAACUCGUCGAGUCAUCCCUCUGACUUGCCGAGUUCCCAGGCUACUCAUACUCGCAAUUAAGCGAGUCAACUCAUCAAGUCAUCCUCAGACUCGUCGAGUUCUACCAUAUUCAGAAUCGAGACAACUCGCCUCAACUCGCCGAGUUUCUCUAUGAACUUGACGAGUUCCUCUGUCUGUUUGGUCCAUCUUAACGGAUUAAUCCCCUACACUUCAAAUCUAAGCUUCUUGUUUCUCAUACACACUAAAAACGUCAUUUAAGUGUAAAGUUUCCAACUUUACCAAUUAAUACCCUCAUUUGACGGGUUUGGCUCAAACCUUAACUCUCUAGAACUUAGAUCUUGGUCCAUAAGUUAUCCAUACUCCAAACUAAAGCAUAUAAACAGAGAUCUAGGCCUUAGACAUCAUUUGAAUACGUAAAGCUUCUGUCUUUUCCUCCAUACAUGGCCUUUUGGGGCUUAAAAGGCCAAGAUGACAUCUUAGAGCUUGCAUGGGGGCUCCAAUGGCAUAAAGAUUGCACCUUUAUGCCCUAACAACCGUAAUGAUUCCAGAUCUGAUGGUUCACUCACUUGGGACGUCUAUAUCCCAAAGAUCAAGCUCUUUGGACCAAAAACCCAAAUAAAGUAAAAAAUAAGGAGAUCUAAGAAACUACUAAGUAAGUUAGAGACUUGAUUACCAGAAAAUGAUGAGGAUUAAAGGAAGUAUCUGGAUCUACUAUCUUCUCCUUGAAUCCUCUAGCUUCUUCUUCUUCCACAAGCUUCAAGACACACAAAGAUCACUAAAAAAUGGCCCACAAGCUCACAAAUGCAUUAGGGUUUAUGAAACUAGGGUUUGGGACUAGGAGGUCAGAAAUGAGGCUAGCAAGUGGGGUUUUGGAUGCUUAAAUAGGGUGUAAAACCCUGAAAUUAGGGUGCAAAACCCUGAAAUUAGGGUUUCAUCCUGGCAGCCCUACUCGUCGAGUCGAGGCUCUCAACUCGUCGAGUAAGUGACUUAAAAUCUCAUGUCCAUUCUGGUUUCUACUCGACGAGUUUGGGGCUCCCAACUCAUCGAGUAGCACUACAAAAGUGAAUAAAUCAUAAUUAAAUGCGUAACAGGAACCAGGCGUUAUAUGAUGGCAUAAUAUAACAAGAAAUGAUGAUAUUGAAAUAACAAAAGUUAAGGAUUUUCUUAAGUCUCAGUUUUUAAUUAAAGAUUUGGGGAAAUUAAAAUAUUUUCUUGGCAUAGAGGUUAUUGAUGUUCCAAAUGAUCUUUGUAUGUCUCAGAGGAAAUAUUGAAUGGAGUUAUUAAAAGAUUUUGGAAUGUUGGGUUGUAAGCCUGUUUCUACUCCUCUUGAAACUAAUAUUGUUGUUGGUCGUGAUGAUAAUUGGGAUAGUUUUCUUGAGAAUAUUACUGAGUUUCAAAUGCUGGUUGGAAAACUGGUUUACCUUACUAUAACUUGGCCCGAUAUUAGUUAUUAUGUUCAUGUUUUGUCUUAGUUUAUGCACAAGCCUAGAAAGGCUCAUUUGAGAAUUGCUUUAAUACUUUUACGGUAUCUUAAAUCCAUCCUGGAAAACAUGUGUUUGUUUCUUUACAACAGAUAAUCUUGUUUUGAGUGGUUUUUCUAAUGCUGAUUGGGCUAAAUACCUCUUUUUCAGAAAGUUUGUAAGUGAUUUUUUGGUUUAUUUUGGUAAUUCUUUUUAUAUCUUGGAGGUGUAAAAAGCAAUCUACUGUUUCCAGAUCUUCCACUGAGUCGGAAUAUAGAGCUCUUGAUUCAUUAACUUGUGAAAUAAUUUGGGUGGUACAGGUUGUGUUUGACUUGAAGUUUUCUAAUAUGGCUCUUGUUAAUAUGUUUUGUGAUAAUGAUUCUGCUGUUAAACUUGCUUUAAACCCGGUUUUUCAUGAUAAAACAAAACAUUUCAAAAUUGAUAUUCAUUUUAUUAGAGAAAAGAUUGCUAAUGGUGUUGUUAGUCUUGUUAAAGUAAGUUUUGUAAAUCAAAUUGCUGACAUUUUGACUAAGUCUCUUAGUUCUUAUCAACAUGAUAUUCUGUGUGGUAAGAUGUGUUUAAUUGAUCCUUUCUUUGUGAAGCAACAUGUCAAAUGAUUAGUUUGAUCGGGGGUGUUGAAAUGAUAAAACGUAUAUUCAAACUAACCAUUUCUAUUAUUUCAAGUUUUGUUAUAGUUUGUGUUGCAGGUGUUCAUGUGUUGAAGUUAAGGGGGCUAAGUGUUAAUAUUCUUGGGUUUGUAUUCGGGUUUCCGGGUUAUAUUUACCCGAUGUAUAUAAUGUUUGAUUGUAUUAUUUUCCCUUAGUUGUUAGAAGAUAUUUUCUCUGUAUUCUCUCGAUAAUUCUUCAAAUUAGGGUUCUUACUUGAGGUUUCGUCUUCUUCAUUUUCAUAAUCUGUUUUAUACCUGAGUGAAUCUUGUUGAGAGUAGAAUAUGAACUUUGUAGUGAGGUUUUCAUUGUAUUUGUACAUGCAAACGUUUUGGUUUGAUAUAUAAUCAAACUAAUCAUGUUGGGAAAUCGUGUUUAUCAUUUUAUCGUUUUUAUAAACAAUUUUAGCACUUGCAACAACAAAAUUUGAUUUCAACAAUCCUUUUAGCAAAUAGAAAAGCAUCAUAUUCUAACUACAAAAGAACCCUUAUAACAAACAAUUUCUACAUAAGAAAUGGUUUUGGAGGCUUCAUAAGCGCCAUAGAUUUCAACUUACUUGUGGUGAUGUUUCCUUCAAGGAAGGACUACAUCGACGUUGUGGCUUUGGAAAAGGCAUAACACGGCGAGGACAUCGACAACGUCGGGGGAAGAGGAAGUUGGUGGCGCCGAUUAAGAAUAUUUAGAGAGAUGGAGGAGUAUUAUUGAUGGGAAAGGGAGUGGUUGUUUCUCCAGUGACGAUUCUUUGGGUCGAUUGAAGGAGGAAUACUAGAUCCUCUGGUGGCCUUUGAUGGGAAGGUGAACAUUCGAUGAGAGGAAUGCAUAAAUGUCCCAAAGAGAAAAGGUGCAUGUUGUGCUUUUAAGGUUUAGACAAAGAGGGUAUUUUAGAGAAAAUAAUGGUUUAGAGGGGUGUUAAAAAAAUAUUUGUAUCUGUAAACAUGAUUCGAAAUUAUCCGAAAUUCCGGAUAUUUGAUUUUUCGGAUUCGGAUAGGGGUAGUAGUUUUCAAAAAUUUCGGAUAUUCCGGAUAUCCGAAAUCCGAAAUAUAAUUUUUAUAUAUUUAAUUUUUUUUUUCUUUUAUUUAUAUUCACUCAUGGGCCAGUGGGGGUUAGAGUUUAUAUUAUAGGUUAUAUACUUAUAUGUAUUUUUUUUCACCAAAGUUACUUUGAUACAUUUGCGUUAGGUGUUCACCAUCAAAUUUUUUUCAUCGUGCUUUGUUUCUAACUGGUGCAAUUGGCAUGAAGUGUUACCAUUUGUUUAUGUUCUAAUGUAUGACAUUUAAAAGUCUUCCACGUUUUUGAGUUUUCACCAAAAAAAUUAUUAUUUGUAACGUGGAAAAGAAUUGAAGCCCCAUUAUAUAUAAGUUUUAUGAUAUGAUUUUAGUGUGUCCAUAUUUUGUUUUCUAUGAACACGAAGUCAAGUACAUUCAAGAACGACAAGAAGAGACAAAUAACGAAAUGCAAAGAAUUUUGUGAAAAAUGAUUAAGUUAGUAAAAAAAACUUUGUGAAAAUGCUCCAAUUAUAAAUUAUAAUCUUGUUUCCUAACGUGAAUUCUAACAUUCUUCUAGACUACUUAAAUGUUUUUCCAAUUCAUUUUAAUUGUUCAUUUCUUUAAAAAAAAAAAAAAGAAUUUAGGUAUGUGAAUCCAUAUCCGAAAAUCCGGAUACUUGAAUUUCGAAUACCCAAUUUUCGGAUACAGAUUUGGAUAUCAUAAUCCACUAUCUGAAAUUUGGAUAUCCGGUUUCGAACACCCCUACUUAUAGGCAUGGAGUGAUUAUGAUGUACUCUUACCGUUUCACGGGUAGUUUUUAACCUAGACAAACUUUGUGAAUGUUUAACGAUUAAGAAGUUGCCUCUUAAUUUGAACCGUUAAGAGGUUUACCAAAGAUCCCCCAAAACUAUCAAGGUAAUUUCACUUGUGAAGUGCACGAACUACAACACUUACAAACAACUUAAGAAGGAACAAUGUCUUACCCGAUUCAAUUAUAAACAUGGGAAAUAAAAACCGAAACAUAAACAAGAGAGGGCACAUAUACAAAAAAGAUUCUUAACCGUUAGCGAACACCAUAUAGUUUUAGGCAAGGAAAAAGCCAACCGUAACACUGUUGUAAUUAAAUGAUAUUCUGGAAUAUAAUGUAAAUAUUAGAUGAAAAUGGAGUUCGGGUGACCACAAAACAUGGUUAUGUUUGUGGUUUUAUGAGGAGGACCACAACACAACUCAUCCACAGCUUCAAAAGGAACAAAUAGUCAAACCCACAACACGUGUGUAGAUUCCCAACCUUAUGUGUCCAUGUUGGACAUAAUCACACACGUAUCAUUAUUAUUAGUCACUUCCUAUUACUAAAAUGUUGUGUGUUUGUUUCUAUAAAAUUAAAGUACCAAAGUUUGAUCUACGUUAUUUAAUAAAGAAGCAUUUUACUGUCUUCCCAAUGCAUGCAAUAACUAUAAAAGGUACGAUCUUUUUAAUCUCAAAAUAUUUUGCUAUAAUUAAGGAUAUGUGUUACGGUCAUCAUGUUGUUUGUGGGGACAUGGGAGUUGAUGUAACCUCGCGGCCCCGUUGGAAAUAAAGACGUAAGUGAGCUGAGCUACUCGUGAGCGACUCGUUAAAAGUUCAACUAAAGAUCAUAUUAAACGAGCCCCACCCGAGCUCGAGCCUAAAUAUGAGGCUCGUUUGUUAAACGAGUUCGAGCCGAAAUACGAGGCUCGUUUAUUAAAAUAAAGAAAUAAUUGAGGAGUUAGAGAUGUAGGGUAUUAGUAAACGAAUUUCUUAACGAGCUUGAACUGAACCUAAGCUUAUUUAGGCUCAUCAUACAAAAUCGAGCCGAUCUCAAGCCUGAGCCGAGCAUAUAUAAUUCUUCACGAACUCGAGCUGAGCGCGGUGCAAUAAAGCUCAAAUCGAGCCGAGCUCAAGCUCAAGCCCAUCUUAACUUAAACGAGCCCGAGCUGAACCUGGCCAAGCUCGGGCUCGGCUCGACUCAUUUACAUCCUUAGUUGGAAACAUGUCGCCAAGGAUGGCUCCGUGAUCUGGAUACGACAACGGCCUCGAUGGCCUCCUCUUUUCCCUUCAAAAUCGACCGUUGGCACCGGUCAUUUACUUUACACUGUUUUAUUAUUUUUACCUCUUAUAACUAUACAUUUAACUUUCAACAUUUUUACAAAAACAUUCUAUAUGUCUCUCUUAUUUUCUCCUAUAACCGGCCACACAUCCAGUUGUAACAAAACUCAGCUUAGCGGUUCAAACAUACUAUCCAAAAAUAUUUUUCCGUCUCAAGUCUCAUCACAACCAUGCUACCUGCAAUUUGAUAUCAUCUUGAAACUGACAUUUUUUAGGUGGAACAAACCAUUGCCUUCCUACAAAGCCUUCAUGUUAUGUGAUGCAAAUUUCACAAAACCAACUCCAUGCAUCUUAAACCUCAAAAUUUGUUGCCACCAACGAUGAUGACAUGUAGUACUGCCAAUAAUGACACGCAGGUACCUAAUAUUUACCUAAAACCCAACCUGAACAAUCCUAACCACAAAAGAGCUCUAAAAAUCGCAAUUUUUGCUUGUACGUACGGGUCCUGCUCGCCUAAAACAUGGACUAGAGAUGAACAUUUGACAUGGUGGAACUGGACCAGAUCGGAAGAUCGAAAAAACAAGAUCGAAUGUAUUCAAUGUAGUUCUUUGUUCUCCAUUUCUCAUUAAAUAUGUUCACGGUUCUUUGGUUCUCCUUAAAGAGCACACUUACUUGUAGAAUCGAACAUUAACCCGAACCAAUAUAUUCGGUUCGGUUCACGGUUCAACAUCUCCCACUAACUCAGUUCCCGGUUCUUUGAUUCUUGGUCCGGUUUGGGUUUGGGCCGAUGCUCAUCCCUAACAUGGACUAUGGUCGGGGACAUCUUUUUCACAAUUUUUGAUUACUAAAGCUCUAAAAUUGGUAAGUGCGUGGGAGAAAUCUCGAAGGAAGGCGCAACUGGUAAUACACAAACUUGUAGCUUAUAAGUUAUCUUUUAAAAGAUUAAGAGAUACUAAUACUAGCGUUUCAACAAGUUUAUUGAGUUUCCUUUUCCAAAAAAUAUAAAAUUUAAUAAUUAUAAAAAAAGAAAAUCAAACUUUCUACAUGUAAUUUUACGUAUUCCAACUAGCUUAUUAGCUAGGUUUAUCAAACGUCAUUGAAAAGGGUUAGUGUGAGCUUAUCCAUGCGGUUAUGCACUCAUCGAAUAUAAAUCCAUUUUUUGAAAGAUCCUGUCUUUUGUGGUUUGGUGGGUCUCCGAGAUCCUUUCGAUGACCUAUGUUGUGUUGAAAGAUCCUGGCAUAGAGCUCGCGGUAACAGUGGAACCGGGGAAAGUAUACAUAAAAGAUAGUUCUUUUCUAUUAUAUAUUAUAUUAGUCUUUAUUUAACUCAUAUUAGAUUAGUCUAAGUUAGUAAUCUAUGCUUAGUGAGUCAUUUCUUCCGUGAUGAACUGUUGGCGCCAGUCCUAUAUUUUGUCUUUGUGGAUAGAGAGGAGAAAGGGGUGUGGGAAGAGGAUUGUAUUAUGAGAGAAGCAAAGAGGUUAAACCUCUUAUUUGUUAGGCCCCGUUUGAUACACAUCUUUCUAGGCCCAAUCAAAUCUUUCUGGCUGAAUGGACCGGAAAGACUGUUUGAUUUGUACAAGAAAAUGGGUCUUUCCCGGUAAGAUAUGUCUUUCCCAGAAAGCCCCAAAAUCAUAUCUUUCUGGAUGAAUGGGCUGGAAAAACAAUUAUGCACCAAACCCUGACUCUUUCUUUCUUUCUUGGAUAAUUAAUUUUUUUAAAUAACUUUUUUUUUAAAUUUAUUUUUUAUUGAAUUAUUACUUUUUUCAUCAUUUAGCACAGUCAAUCAGAUGUACAAUCAAACAGAAUGAUUUUUUUCACAGUCAGAAAACUUUUCCAGACAUCACUUUUUAAGACAUAAAUUAUCAAACCAGAGUUUUUUAGAGUAACUUUUCAACUAGUUUGUAGUUGAAAAUUUAUAAGAACAACCAAAUCAUUGAAAAAACUUCUCCAAUCAUAUUUUUAAAUUUCAAAGAUGGUGGUUUAAAUAAAAUAUAUUUUAAAAACUCUAAAAAAAACUAAUAUUGUGGAUACUGUGACCUUUUCCUAUUUGUUUCGCAAUAAAUCUUAUUAGAGCCUUGAUAUGGCAUCAAAAAUAUAUUAAAUCAAACAUGCAAGCUCCUAAAUCCUCUAUUUUAAUUAUUCUUCAGCAUUCCUAUCUCUUAAAUGUUUGCCAUUUUUAUAUAACAACUAAACUUGUGAGUUAAAACCCAUUUAAGACGUAUUUAUAAACAAUCAAUACGUUUCAAACUAAAAAGAAACUCAUGUAUGAUACAUAACAUGAUAUUUUUGCAUUACAAGAAAAAGAAAUCCAAACACAAAACUGAUAUAUUUGUUUCAUUCACAUGACGUAUAUAAAUGAAUAAAAGAUUCUUAGGACUUACGUUGGUUGGUAUUUUAAGAUUCAGACGAAGUUCAAAUCAACAAUAAUAAUGUGACCUUGCAUGAUUCUUUUUGCUAACAGUUAUACGAUGAGACUACAUCUUAUGAUAUUUUUUGGGCUGAAAUGAUAUAGUCCCACAGUUGUUUUUGAGGUGGUAUUUUGGACGCUAAUAAAACACCCAAGUUUAAGUCCAAAAAUUGUAAUCUUACGCUUCUAGGAUAAGCUUUUUUGCUAAUUUUUUCUAUACCUACACGCAUGACUAAUCUUUAAAUACCUGGUUUAAGCUUCACAUUAUACUAAUUUAUACUAAGGUAAUUCCUAGUUUAGUUUCAUACUAUAGCCCUUAAAUUUGUGGGGUUCGGAAGAAAUAAAUGAAAGAAAAGAUUAAAUAGAAGAGAUAGGAGAUAGGAUAGGGGAAGGUUAUUUAAUUUAAUAAUAAUAUGAAAGGAAGAAACGGACUUGUUUUUGGGACACCGAGUAUUUUGUUUGCAGGUUUAAGAGAUUCUUUUUCAGAUUAUUAUAAAUUACAAAUCUCCUCCUUCACUCCAUCACUCCACCACCCACACCCACACCCACUGCACACAUUAUUUGUCCUCUCUAUCUCUCUCUACUCUGUAGGGUUUCACUCUCUAUCUUUUAAUAAUCCAACUUACUCAGUCAUACACGUGCCUCUGGGGACUCUCCCUUACCUUCAUUUACACUACCCUUUGACCUCUCUCUCUCUCUCUCUCUCCAACAACAUCAAGAAAGAUAUAGCAGCUUAGAUUUUUCAUGGAAGGCUUACCGGAAGACGCCGGAGAUGGCAGCAUGCUCUGCACCGAGCAUCCAUUCAAGAACAACACACCGGCAGGGGGUAUAUGCGCCUUUUGUCUUCAAGAAAAGCUCGGGAAGUUGGUGUCUUCUUCUUUUCCGAUAGCCGUUUUUCCUUCGUCUUCGUCUUCUUCUCCGUCGUUCAGAUCUGACAUUGGUGGUGGUGGCGGGAGCGCCACCACCGUCGUCCCACCACGGUUGACAAACCAGACUUCCUUAUUGGUUUCAAAUACUCAAAUC